GGCCCAUUCCCGGGGGCCCCGGUAUACGAGCGGCGUUGGGCGGGACCGGGGGGUCCUCCGUGCAGGUUUUUCCUGAUUAUAUUUGUUCCCUGGCUUUGACUGAAUCUUCAGGAAGACGUUUCAGAAAGGAUAGAAAAUAUCCCGGUGUAUUGCAAAUGCCACAGGACUUCUUGGAAUGACCUCAGACAAGAUGUCAGCGUCUGUGGAACUCUGCUUACCGAAGUUCUUUCUAGAAUGCCACAGAAUGGGUGAACCUGCUGUUUGACUGAGAGGCUGGAGCAGAAAGCUGCCCUCCCUCUGCAGAACGAAAAUAUUCACAAGUAUAUCCCCACAAAACAGUGCUCCUGUGCUCCUAGAGAAGAAAAGGACUGAUCCAGAAAGUCAAUUUAAAGCAUAUUCAAUAAUCCAGUGAGUUAGGAGUCUCUACAUGGCCAAACUCAUUAUCAAAACUGUUUUGUUCCUAAGGGGAUUUGCAUUCUUUGUGCCAGGUUUUUCAUAGAGUUGUUAGUUAAAUGCAUUUUAAAAUUCAGUAUGCAUUGUAUAUGGGGGAAAUAAUAGCCUAGAAAUGAAAUGUGUUUAAUUAUUGA